GCCGGGCAGUGGGUCAGCCGAGCGGCCGGGACUGAGGCUCAGGUCGCCGCCCGCCCGCAGGAAGCAGGGCUCUGCCAGGUGGCCCUGGGAGAGGUCGUCCCCCUCGGAGAAGCUGUCGGCCUUGUAGCUGGCGUAGAGCGGGCUGGCGCGGCCGUCGGCCUUCUUGCCCGGGCUGCCCCCGGCCCCGCCGUAGUAGCGUUCAGAGAAGCUGCAGGGGGGGCCGCGGGCCUGGUUUCUCCACCCCGUCGCAGAAGGCCAGGUCGCGGGCGGAGGCAUCGGACAGGCGGGAGGACAGGCUGGCGGGGUCCGGCUUCUCCAGCACCUUGGCAAUGACGCAGGUGGGGACGCUGUCGGCGUAGGCCGGGUGGCAGAGCGGGGAUGGCAGGCUGCAGCCGUGCUUCUCCAUGUGCAGGCUCACGCGCUCCUGGAAAUCCGAGGGCAGCUGGAACGGGUGCGAGGAGGGGGACGGCGGGUACAGGGUCACUGUUAGCAUGGCAGCCCAGCCCUGGCCCUGAAGCUGAGGACUGAUGUUAGCCAUGACCGACAGGCAGACAGACGAACGGGGGCCUCCCGGCUUCUCAAAUCACACCAGGGGGAGCCUGGAUCCAGGACGCUGUACUGAACAAGCUCCCAGGGGUGUGGGUGCUGUGACUGCCUGGGGAUCCUGGGUCACCUCUCCCCACCCCACUCUGAUUGGGCCCAGGAGAGCCCAGAAGCUGCAGUCGCCUGGAGAAGCCGGAACCCAGGUCUGAUUCAGGCCCCACUCAAGG
rnacentral:lncRNA from 1 species